CCCGGCCGCCGUUUUGUGAAUAGGAGGCGGCCGUCACAUGACGCCGCAUUCAUAAAUCCGGUCACCGGCGGCCGCCGCGCUCGGAGGGCCCCCCCCACCCCCCACAUCCCGGGGCCCGCGUGUGCGGGGAGCGGCUCUCAGACACCCGAUCCUUCUGUAAAGCCCCCACUCGAAUAAACGGCGGUGCGAUGUGUGAAGGUUGUGGUGCAGAGCUGUGGGCUCGGACCCCGUGCGCUCUCAUCCCCAGUUUUGCCUUGAGGGUUUUAUGACAGCCGGGAAAAGGAGGCACUGAGCACAGUGCUGGGUGGGUUCCAGCUGCCGUGGGGGGUUUGGGUGCUGUGGGUGUGUGUGGGGCCGGCACCCAUAGCAUUGGAAACGGUAACUGGCCGAGGAAAUGGCCUCUGCCUGCAACGCUUGUGUGAGGAGGAGUGGUAGUUGGGGCACCUUGUAGCAAAGAGGCUGUAAAGCCGCGUUUUUGCGUCGCUUCUGACAUUGUGGUUCUUUUGAAGUCAGCACAGUUCUAACAGGAGAAGCUGGGUUUCUGCUGCUGCGGAGCAGGAUGGGAGGUGCGGUGGGCUCGCUUCCAGCAGACCCCUCGGAGGGCUCAGGGUUCCCUCUCCGAUGGCAUGGCACAGAGGUGGCUAUGUGCAAAGCCGGCGGCUGCUGAGGGAUGUGGACAGCUUGCUGGUUGGGACAGCUUGCUGGUUGGGCUAGAUGAUCUUAGUGGUCUUUUCCAAACUUAACGAUUCUAUGAUUGCACCCUGUGCCCCAGGCCUGCGCUUGCCACCCCGUUGGGUGGGUACUGGGGCAAAGGACACUCUGCAUUGCAAGUGGAGGCCGUGUCAGAGCUGCUGCCCUGAUCCCUGUGCUGCUGUGGGUACCGCUCCUUCCCGGCCCUUCCCUGCGCUGAUGGAUAGCACUGCUGCAGGUGACUCAUGCGCCGUCCUUCCUGGCGGCGGUGGGUGAUGUUUUUCAAUCUACGUGGUGUUAGAAGAAAUAAGGACGGGCCCUCUCCAUAAGUUUGCUUGGGCUGUCGGAACAACGGCAGCAUCGCGUGCUAUUUGCCCCAGAUAUCUGGCUUUGAUUUGCAUAGCUCUUCUCGUUCCACCGAGUGCACUGUGAACAAAUGUUAACAGGCAGAUUACAGACGAAGCGCCGCAGCCAGCUUGUAUUUAAAAUCAGUGCGUUGUCUUUUUCCCCAUCAUUGGCUUUUUUCAUUUUGCUUGGGGAGCUUUUCUACCAUAUUUAGAGUGUUUGAACCAUUUGAUGAAACCAAAGAGGAGCGAGAUGAGGCUCUGGCUGCCCAGGCUCCUUCACGACUGCACCAUUUCUGAUCGAUACCCAGAGGUCGAUUUGUCAUUGCUGGAGGAUGCCUCGUUCUGCCCCCUGGGCUGCAUGCUGCCAGAGACCGGGCGAUCGGCCGGCGUGUCGCGGCUGUAUUUCUGGCUGCGAGUGGGAGGAUUCAGCUGAAUCGGAAGGCAUAAAAUGAUUCAGUUACGCCCGAAGGCGGCCGCAGCACAUCAUUACGAUGCAGGCUUCCAAGAAAGUCACAGGAAGUAAUUAAAUGGAAAAGGUCAGAGAAUGAGGAAGUGUCGCUCCGCGGCGUUUCGGGAUGGAGCUGGGAGCCCUGUGCCGGAGCUGGGGUGGGAGCUGGAGGCAUGGCUGUGGCAGUGAGCUUCUUCCUUCCAGCAAAGGGCAUGGAGCUGAGCUGCUCCCCGGAUCCCACCUCCUUCCAUGGCUGCUUCAAGCACUCACCCCGCCGACGUAGCAGUUUACCCUUUACACUGAAUUUUUUCCCCCCCAUUUUGCCCGUUACUACUGAUUUUUUGCUGUCAUAAGCCGUCCAUUCAGUUAGCUGUGUUUUUUUUCCUUUUCUUUCAAGCUUGAGCCAGGGAGAAAGGCAUGGGACAUACUUUGUGUCAUGACAUUAUUGCUCGCAAAUAGGACAGGAAAUGAAGGGUUGCCAAAAUAUAACUGUUUAUUUCUUGGCCUGAAAACACGGCUGUUUAAAAUACUACAUGUAAGUAGCUGCUUUGUUCGGUUACUUGGAGAACUUGCUGUUUCUAAGGGAAUAAUAGGUCUAUCGGAUGGAAAAAGGGAAAGAAAAGAAAAAAAAAAAAAGAGCAACCCUUUCUGCUUCUGUCUUGGAAACAAGUUAAAAGCAGCUGUAGAAGAUAGAGAGAUUUCGGUGAGGGUUUAGUUGGUUCACGUGGAGAGAGAUCUGGGGAAGAGGAUUGCACUUCAGCCCAAACCCUCAGAAAACCCCAAUCCUGUUUUUGGCUCAGGGAAACCUAAAAAACUCGCCUUUGGGCCAGAAAGUGGGUUUUUCAGCCAGAAGCAGCGAGUGAUGGAUGGUGCUCGCCUGUGGCAUGGAUGCAGCCGGGAGCUGCUUCGACCUGUUUCUGCAUCGCGUUGUAAUCUCGAUCUGGCACACCCUCUAGCGUGGGUUAAAAGGUGGCUUUAUCUACCCGCUUAAUUAAAUCCCGAGGCUGCAAACAAAAGCACAUUGCGCAGCGGAGGCUCUUCCUUAACGUGGACUUGCUUGGCUGGUAGCUGGCUUGAAACCACAAAAUUGUUUCCUUGGGGCCACCAAACCGCAGGGAGAUGGUGGUGGUUGUCAUUCUUCAGGACCUUCUUCAGGGUGGAAGGCAGGAGCUCAGGAAAGAGAGGCAACGUCACCGCCGGCUCAGUCCCUCCAUCACAUACAUGCUGGUAUGCUUGAAGAAUUGAUAAAUUCAAUUCACUUUCCUCCAGCAGAAUUAGAACAAACGGUCCUGUGGAGAUACUGAACCUGGGAGAGAUACACUUGUCAAGCUCUGGAUAUUGUUGUUGUUCUGUGCAGGGUGCUGGAUCCCAAAAGAAGUGUCCCUGCUGCUGAAUUCCACCUGUUGGAUGGCUUCACUGGGGUUCUGCAGAAGUUCUGCAGAUGCUGUGGCUCACUGGCUGAGGUGCACCAUGUACAUUCCCAGCUGCUGAAACCAGCUUUGGCUGCAGGAAUUGUUCCUUUCACCGAGUCCAUUGAAAAAUGUGCUUCGUUUUCUUUCUUCUUCCUCUUUUCUCCUGCUUUCUUAACACUAGAAGAUGAUCCUUCUCAUGAGAGAUGCUCAGGGGAAGAGAGGACAGAAAUUAGUAAAAUCAUAAGUACAGCUCUAGAUACUGCACUGAUGAUACAUGCCUUCUUCAGUAUGCAGAGUGUUUGGUUUUUUGGAAGACUUAAUGCUCCUGAAGAAGCAUGGAAAUGAAAAUAAAAGUAGCUGGAUGGUUUGUAGUAUGAGGAUACAACUACCUUGCUUCUGCCUGUGUGCAGUUGCAGGAGGCUCUCUGAUGUGUCAGUUGUCAAUGGAAGGAGCACAGAACUCAUUAUGGAUGGGAUCAGCAUGUUGGUACCUGCGUGCAUCACAUCUGUGCUCCGUGCCUCUCCUCCUUAAGUCAAACAAGCAGCUGAAGCGCAAUGCUGGCUGCCUUGCACAACAGAAGUAGGUGCUUCCCCUUAAAAGCAAGCUGUGUUUUAUCAAAAACAGUAUUACAAAGUGUGCUUUCAGGGCCUCAAAGAUAUGUGUGCCAACAGCCAGCAGGUUUUACCUGUUGCAGGAGGUUUCGGGGAGAUUUAUCCCAAGUUAUUAUUUUUGUCUCCAAUCUCCUUGUUCUUAGGCUCUUUGAAUAACUUUCUUUGACUUUCUUCACUUGCAACUCGCACUUCAAGGACUGUUUUGGUUUUAUUUCCCCCCCUCUUUGUUCUCAACUCCUACGUGUGCUGUAAUCAGAGGAGAGAUCUUGAGGCUGUCAGCUGAGCCCAGUAGCUGAUGGCUAUUCCAUCAAGGAAGGAAAUUUCUUCCUACUGGCAAAUGUGGGGAGGAGUUGCAGGGCUCCAGAGCAAAGCUCUUGUUUCAUGUGUAUGUAUUAAACAUCCUUCCAGAAGUAAUGGUAGGACAGUGUACAUCUCUCAAGGAACAGAAUUGUGUUUCUUGCAGGUAGCAAGUACAUUUUCCUCAUUUAUUUUAUUUUUUUUUAACAAGAAGGUCACUCUCAUCUCUCUUCUGCUAAUGUGUGGGAAGUGUGCAUCGAUAUCUCUGAGAAAUGUGCUGUAAAACCUGAUGGUGUUUUUUGAUGUAGGCCAUGGGGGAGAAAGGCCACGGUGCAAAUGUGUGCUUGUAGGGGCCCGUGCUGCUCUGUGGGGACACAUGCACGUUGUGCACAUGUGCUCAGAUCCCAAGGAAAUCCAAAAUUAGGCUUUAAUUGUGUUGUGCAUCUGUCCUGUGUGGCUACCUUUUGCAGUCCCUAGGCCAUUCAUGCUUUUAUUUAUUUGUUAACUCACUUGCUGGUGGAGGAAGGCUGUUUGGGAGGACAAAGAAAUCUAUCGUGUCUGCUCAUACACGUCAUUUUAGGAGAGGUUUCCCUUCUCUCAGUGUGCCGUGAGAUGUAUGGGCAGUGCUGGCAGCUGGGAUGCCUGCUGUGGGUCCCUGCAGUGAGAGAUGCUGCCCCAAAACCACCCAUCACUGUCUUGUACUGGACACAAGCCAGGGUCUCAGCUCAACCUCCGUGUGCUUUAUUUCUUCUGCCGACAUGCCUAAACACUCCCACCUGGCUUCUAAGUUCUCAUAAAGCCAGCUGGCUGCUUACGUGGCUUGGGAGUAGAAAGGUAUGCCCCCAAGCUUAUAGAUAUAAAUGUGUGUGUGUGCUUGGGCCCCUUUUUUGCGGAUCUGUGCAGGAGUGUGCUAUGGGGCCAAGGAAGGAACAACUUAUCCAGCUGGGGACACGGGAGGUGCUUUUGUAUUUUCCUCAAGUCAAGGGGAUGCAGUAAGGAGUUACUGGAAGAUGCAAGCGAGGUUGAGGAGUAAACUCAGCUGCUGCCGCAGGGCUUCUGCAUCUGGCAUUGCAAGUUGUUUACAAACAGUCUGGUUCUUCAAAAUUACAUGGAGAUCUGAGAGAAUCAACGGGGCUUCUCCAAAGCAUGCUUGUAGUUUAUUUCAGCUGUUUACUUCAAUUUUGUUCACAGAACCAGAGAAAGGUUGAAGUAGGAAGGCACCUCUGGGUCAAUCAGACCCAACCCUGCUCCAGCAGAGCCACCCAGAGCAGGGUGUCCAGGGCUGUGCCCAGGGCCGUGUCCAGGCAGCUGCUGAAGUUCUCCAAGGAUGAGACCCCACAGCCUGCUGUGUGCCUGGCUCUGUCCUCUUUGUACACGUCAGUGGAUCCCCUUGAGGCCUUCUCCAAGCUGCUCAUCUCUCUCAGCCUCUGCUCACAGGAGAUGUGCUCCCGGCCCUUGGUCAUCUUAGUGGCCGUCUAUUGGGCUCACCAGUUUGUCCAUGUCUCUUGUACUGGGGGGCCCACAAGUGGCCACUGGACUUCAGUUCAGUCCUUUAACACAAUUCCUUUGACACAUAGGCCUUUGCAUCUCCCCACUGUUCGUCCAUACUGCCUGGAUAGGGCCUACAGAUGGAAGUCUAGCAGCUGGAUGGGAGGUGAGAGUUUAAACCCUCAGAGCAUUUCAGUGCCAUGGGUCCUCGCCAUACCAGAGAGCUAGGGAGCAGUGAGUGUUCCUUGUGUGCAUCAGCAUCAUUGAGCUCAGGUUAAAUCCACCAUGCUCCAAACUGUGCCUGCAGCAGGAGAAACCUCAGACAACUGGAUACGGGAAGAUGCUGUGACCUUGUAAAAUAUGCCAAAUUUCCUCUGGUGGGGAAAGAGCCAGGUUCAGCAUCUCUGUCAGACAGCAAUGCAUAUCCCUGCAUUUCAGAGCUGGUAGGCUUGGCCUUUUUAAAGCACAGGUAUAAAUUACAUUACAUAAAAACCACUGAAACUUCAGUGAUGCGUGUUGGGUUUUGUUGUGCUGUGUUUUUGCUGUUUUUUAACAUUGAUGAAAUUACAGCAAAAACUAUCACUGAAGGCUUGUGGUGCUGCCAACAUAAUUAAUUCUUAGCUGCUAGUUGGCAUGGGAGGUGUUAGGUUGGUUGCAGCCAGUCCUUGCUGUACGUCUUGCUGCUGGAUGUGUGCAGUUGGGUGGCUGUGAGGGAGUGCUGAAAUAGAGAAUCCCAGUGUUUACACUGCCUCAAAGACCUGCUGCUUUUAGAAAGAUAUUUGGUGUUCAGUUGAUGUAGAAAGAAAACCUAGUGCCAAGCUUGCUUUCUGUGGUUAAAAUCACUAAUAAAAGGCUGCAGGGUCAUUAACCACUAGAGCUGCUUAGGAGAAAAAAAACCUUGCUUUUUUUUUCCCCUUUAUUUUUCUGUAACAAUUUAGUGUUUGGGGAUGUAGUACAGUGUAAGAGUUCAAAUGUUAAAUGGCUGGAAGCUUAUUAAGGAAUGGUGAAGACGAGCUUUUUUCGCUUGUUGUCUGAAGGAAGCGGUGUAGAAAGCUCAAAUAGCUUGCUGUGAAACUAACAAAGGAGGGAGAGAAAGGAAUCUAAAUUUGUUUUAAAGGUGCGCUUGAAAAAAAAAUUACUGUAAGUUCUGCGGACAAGGAUGACAUGCAGACUUUUCCAGGAGAAUCAUGCCAACAGGAGCUGUCCCUCUUCCCUUGCUCCCAUGGCUGGGGAAGCUCAGGGUGCCAGUGAGACCCCCACAUCCCGUGUGCUCUGGGAGCCUCUGGGUGGGGGCUGGGGGGAGGCAGGCCGGGGAGGAGCCGGAGGCGUGUGCAGAGCAGGAAGUUCUAGAAAUACCCUCUGUAAACACUGCAUCCUGCAGGAAGGGCGCCCGAGACCAAAUAAACCGUUUCCCCCUCUCUUUCUACAUACGCACAAACUCUACGGCUUCGGAGGAGCCUGUCGGAUUGGUGAUGUGUCUCUUUAUAGAGAGCCUUGGCCAAGUUAGGGGAUAAAACUUCCUGGGUCAGCAGGCUUGUUCAUCACGAUGAGUUCCCAUUUUUGGUUAAAAUGCUUGAAAACACAGCGGUGCAUGACUUGGAGCAGAAGCAGGCAGGGGGAGGUGGGCACUUUGUCCACUCGAUUUGAUGCAGAAGUACAGAGGGUUCUUCCCCACCUUAAUAGUGUGUGUGUGUGUGUUUGCGUGUGCAGAAAUGGCUGACAAGCAGGAGGGAAAGGGGGGGCAGAGCAGAAAGAGCCUCUUGCUGCUUGGAAUUGAACUGCAAAAGGAUUUGUAGCUUGCUGGGACUGUCCUGGCACAGUGCUGUGCUAGGCAAUGCUAAAAUACCUACAGCUGCAACAUGAACUUCUGUGUUUGCACACUAAAAAUACUCUUGCUUUUCUCCUGGUUUUUGAUGCUAGGUCCUACAAAUGCUUGUGUAUCCAGAGGCCGAGAUGUGGCUGAGGUCUUCCAUCCAGCUUCGGGGUUGGUUACUCUAGUGCACAGCUUCAAAAUCACAGCCCAUGAAUGCAAAAGAAAAAAAAAAAGAAAAAAGAAGACUUAAAAAUUCUGCUACCACCCAUUCAUUCAGCUUCAUUUUGCAGGCAGAUCUUUAAAGAAGGUCACCAAAGUAAAUCUCCAGAGAGGGCAGAAAAGACCCUUUUCUACCUCAAGCUCCUGAAUGGAAGGAAUAAUUUUUUGUGAGACUGUUUGCAAGGUUGUGAUUCUGCCUUUCCAAAAACGCUUGACCACAAGCCAAACAGCUAGAUCCAGCACUUCCACAUGGAUGUAUUUGGUAGGAAAAGAGUUGGUCUGAUUUAUUGCUUAGGGUACGAGUGGUUGAGGUGGGACUAGAAAUUAGUCUCUCCACUCAGACCUUCUCCAGAUGGUUCUCCUCCACUCAAGGUAAGCCCUGGUUACCUUUCUGUGCUGUAGAUAUUUAAAGCAGUCAGAAUUUUUUGUCCAACUCUCCUAACCUUGGGCGUGCAGCAGGCUGUCUUCCACAGUUCCCUUCUUUGUAUGAGAAGGGAAAUGCCUAAAACCCAGUAAUGCCCGAGCGUCCGUGGAACUGGUGACAAACAAACCCAAAUUAAUGGCCGUAGCACAGGAUAGCCGCCUCCUCUCUGGAGAGCACUUUUGCAGCUGCAGCAACUGCUUUUACCCUGUACACAAAAGAGAGAAAAGCAUCGGCAUCAUCCUUGGGCUUGGCGUGUUUUGUCUCUGGUGGGAUUCUGAAGUCAUUUCCUUACACACGUGCCACUGGGCAGGUCUGUGUGUCCGCUCCAGAGCAGUUCAUGUCCGGCCAGGAGGGCUGCUGUGACAGAGGCUUUCAGGGGAGAUGAGCAGGGCUUCCUCAGGGGUGCUUCUAUCUCCUCUUGACUUGAGAAACCCAAUUCCCAUCAACCCAGUGCAUGCUCAAAGGACGUAUUUUGCCAGCAUGCUCCUAUGUCAAGAAAUAGCAUGUGUGACGUGCCUCUUCCCAGUAUGGCAUAUUAGAACUCAGUAUUUCAUAGAAUUGUCUUUGAACACCAUGAAGUGUUAUUUGGAGUUGUUCCUUGUCCAAAGCACUGCCCUUUCUCUUGCCACGUAGCUGUGCUGUGUGCGUCUGCAGAAGGACAACCCUUCCCCUCUAAGCUGCCAUGGAAGAUCUUGGCUGCUCCAGCAUGGGGAGCCUGGAUCUGCUCUCUGAUCUGCCAUCUAUGGAACAGUUGGAAAUAACGUGCAGCAUACGCUGAGUGUCUCAGUGAAAGCCAGAAAGGCUCUUUCAGUGGACUUGCAUGGAUCCAGCUGAAAAUGCUGCUGGUGUUUGCGAGGAACAUGUCUGUGCCUGGAAGAGGUUGUCUCUUCGGAUGAUUAACUUUGUCUGGCCUUCAGCUGUGUGCUCUGAACCGAGCGUCAAAGAGAGAUCCUUCACGUCUUUUCUCAUCUUCUUAUGGAAGUGACAGCACAAAUAUUAGGAUGCCCUAAAAAA